rnacentral:tRNA from 1 species
GCCGAGGUGGCGGAAUAGGCAGACGCGCUAGCUUGAGGGGCUAGUGCCCUUCACGGGCGUAAGGGUUCGAGUCCCUUCCUCGGCACGA